GACGAACGCUGGCGGCGUGCCUAAUACAUGCAAGUAGAACGCACAGUUUAUACCGUAGCUUGCUACACCAUAGACUGUGAGUUGCGAACGGGUGAGUAACGCGUAGGUAACCUGCCUGGUAGCGGGGGAUAACUAUUGGAAACGAUAGCUAAUACCGCAUAAUAUUGAUUAUUGCAUGAUAAUUGAUUGAAAGAUGCUAUUGCAUCACUACCAGAUGGACCUGCGUUGUAUUAGCUAGUAGGUGAGGUAACGGCUCACCUAGGCGACGAUACAUAGCCGACCUGAGAGGGUGAUCGGCCACACUGGGACUGAGACACGGCCCAGACUCCUACGGGAGGCAGCAGUAGGGAAUCUUCGGCAAUGGACGAAAGUCUGACCGAGCAACGCCGCGUGAGUGAAGAAGGUUUUCGGAUCGUAAAGCUCGGUUGUAAGAGAAGAACGGGUGUGAGAGUGGAAAGUUCACACUGUGACGGUAUCUUACCAGAAAGGGACGGCUAACGACGUG
rnacentral:rRNA from 1 species